GGCGCGCACCCGGGACAGUUUCCAGUCGGCUUCUCCGUGACCUUCCUCCCCCUUCCAGCUCGGAGCGGGAUGCUGGGAUCCCUCCAAGGACCCUCUGAGGACGUAGGAGGGAUGCUGAGACAGGGCCAGCUUCAAACCUUGUCAAGCUCUGACAAGGGAAGAUGAAGCCUAGUUCCAGCUAGGGGUGACCUGUCUAUCUGCAUUUUUUGAGCUGCAGAGUGAUGGGAGUCAUAUUCGCUGCCUGUGCAGCACCACAGGCCUGAUGAAAAUGAAAUGGCAACACCGUGCAGAUGGCAAAGCGUAGGCCUCACAAACAUCCUGGCCGUGAAGAGCUUGUCUUCAAGAGUAGCUGGUGCAGAAACUCGCUCGGACUGACCUGGAAGAAGACCCUGAGGAGAACCCGGGCACACAGCAGCCAUUCCAGUCCUCAGCUUCAAGGGGGCUCACGAAGGUUGUGGAUCCUUGCCCAGCCUGCAGUGGGGACCUGGUGUGGCAUUGAGUGGCUGUGAGUGCUCAGUGUCCCCCAUCUCAUGCUAAGCACAGCGAAGUAGGGGGAGAUUGCGUAGUGUGCUGAUGGAGCAGUUGCCUCCACCUGGCUGCGUGUCCCUCCGUCAUGUGACAGAAAAGAAGAAGGCAAUGGUGUUUUUCUGUAGCAAGUCACUAUUUAUGGAAGAGGAGACCCUUUAUCUGCAUCGCAAUUCUGAAGAUUCCACUUUGUUCCAGUCAUUGUUGUGGGCACACUUUCAACAUUUGAUUAAGAGCCAUAAGGGUGGCUUCCUCCACCCACAGAAAAAUUCCUCUAAGGAAUCAUGAGACCGUCGACAUUUAGCAGCUGUUUAAAAGACUGUUUAGACUCCUGGGAUGAUGAUGGGGAAUUCCUGGAAUUAUGGUCUUGGGCAAGAAGGGAACUCAAGUAGGAAAGUCAGCAAUCUAAAUUUCAAACCUCAGGGAACCUUCUUUGUAUAACCUGAUAAUCUCCUUCGCUCAACACAGUGCUUGCUGAGUGAAGGAGUGUAAUGGAAAAGAAAGUUAAUAAUCCCUUGUGCUCUGGAUCAAAAAUGAGGUAGGAGACCAAAUUUUCCAUCAAACUGGUUGGGUCCAAUCACUUAAUGCAAAAUGCUUACUUCAGGGUCUGUAGCACUUGUUGAUCAAUGUACCUAACAGGUCUUAAUAGAGAAAGUGAUCAAUUCAAGCAGUGUCUUCCCAAAUUCUAUAUAUAUAUAACAGAUAUUGCUGCAUAACAAACCAGACAACGCUUAAUAGUUUAAGGCAACCGUUUUAUUAUUCCCCAGAGUUCUAUGCGUGGACCAAGGUCACUUGGGCCCUAGUCUUGUGAUGUCACUUGGACCACAGUCAUUGGGAGGUUCACCAGGUGGAAGCCUCCAUGACAGCUCAAUCCCAUAGCUGCCAGUGGGUACGGCACCUACACGUGGCUGCUUGUAUGGCCUGGGAUUUUCACAGCACAGCAGCAGGGGCUGAGAGGCAGAGUCCUAGGAGUGAUUGUCCCCAGAGAGCAGAAGCAAAAGCUCUCAUCAGUCUUCUAAGAGGCUGAGCUGACAAUGGGCACAGCACCACUCUGCCAUCAUCUAUGGCUUAAGCAUUCACAGGGCCAGGCUAAAUUCAGGCUGUCGGAAGAUAAACUCCACCUCUCAAUGGAGAGAGUUCAAAGCAACUGUGGCCAUCUUUACCCCAUCAGCUUUCUUGCCAAGAAAUAAAGCUCUACAUGACA
rnacentral:lncRNA from 1 species